GGCUGGAGGGCAGUGGCAUGAUCUCGGCUCACAGGAACCUCCACCUCUCAGGUUCAAGCGAUUCUCUUGCCUCAGCCUCACAAGUAGCUGAUGCAGGAGAAUCACUUGAACCUGGGAGGUGGAGGUUGCAUUGAGCCCAGAUUGUACCACUGCACUCCAGCGUAGGUGAAAAGAGUGAAACUCUGUCUCGGGAGGUGGGUGGGAAGAUGUAACUUUAAUAAGUGUUGAAAAGGACCUUAAGUUUCUAUUAAAGGUAAUGUGUGCAUGGCGUAGUCUGCUUAAUGUUGCUUACAACAGAAUAGCUGAAACUGGGUAAUUUAUAAAGAAAAGGAAUGUAUUUCUUACAGUUAUGGAGGCUGAGAAGUCCAAGGCCAGGGGGUUGUACUUUGCAAAGGCCUUCUUGCUGGUGGGGACUCUGCAGAGUCCCAAGGCAGCACAGGGCAAAGCAGGGCGAUGAGG
rnacentral:lncRNA from 1 species